rnacentral:rRNA from 1 species
UACGGAGGAUGCGAGCGUUAUCCGGAUUUAUUGGGUUUAAAGGGUGCGUAGGCGGACUGUCAAGUCAGCGGUAAAAUUGAGAGGCUCAACCUCUUCCCGCCGUUGAAACUGGUGGUCUUGAGUGGAUGAGAAGUACGCGGAAUGCGUGGUGUAGCUGUGAAAUGCAUAGAUAUCACGCAGAGCUCCGAUUGCGAAGGCAGCGUACCGGCAUCCAACUGACGCUGAGGCACGAAAGCGUGGGGAUCAAACAGG